GAGUCAUAUGAUGCCUCAGAUAAUGAGGCUAGGGAGAUCAUAGAGGAGUCCACGAUAGAGGUGGACCCAGAACACCUUGGCUUGUCAUCUUUCCUAAACCCAGAACAGAGAUAUGCAUAUGACGAGAUACUUGCGGCCAUCAAUAGUGGCCAAGGAGGUGUGUUCUUUGUUGAUGGACCCGGAGGCACAGGGAAGACUUAUCUGUACAAAGCACUACUUGCAAAAGUACGUGCUGAGGGUAAAAUAGCUAUUGCAACAGCAACAUCAGGCGUUGCUGCAUCCAUCUUGCCUGGAGGGAGGACUGCACACUCAAGGUUUAAAAUAACAUUGAACACCGAAGACAAUGGGGUCUGCAGUUUCACCAGCAAAGUGGGACAGCUAAGCUUCUUAUGA
rnacentral:rRNA from 1 species